rnacentral:ncRNA from 1 species
UUUCACUAGGGGAACUCUUGAUAAGAGCUGAGAAAAAAGUAGUUUACUUUGAAACCCUCAUUACCUGAACAGGCUUGUACCUGCGUAGGGAUGUGGUUAAUGC